rnacentral:lncRNA from 1 species
AUGUGCCUCCUCUGUCCCACUCUAGAGGAAGAACAACUCAACCCUCAGAGGGAGGAGAGCUGCACAGUGUGGAUGGUUAAGGCAGGCAAUUGCAAGAAUCUGGUGGAGUACCUGGUGCCUGCCGUCCAGAAGAGCAACCUCAUGUAUAUCAACAUCUUCUUUGUAACAUACUGGGUCUUCACCACCACUGAGCAGGAGGAGAACUCCAAGUUUGCCACCCUGGAGAUGAACCUGAAUAGAACCCAGAAGAAGGAGCAGCAGCAGGAGAGGGUGAGUGUGCAUGAGCCUGGGUGGUUGGGGAGGGGUGGCCUCAAAGUCAGCAUGGGGCCCUCCUCAGGCCCAUCCCUCUGGACCACUAAGCCUGGAAAGCCUCCUAUCCAUUUAUCCCCUGAAACCUUUAGGACCAUGAACUAUGGGAAUCCUGGGGGCUAGUUGCAACAGUAAGAGUAAGAGUCUGGAAUAGUUGACUCUGGGUUGAUUGAGUGAGGGAGGGGGGUAAACUUGGUGACUACAAUGGAGUUUGGGGUCGUUGGAGUCUGGAAGAACUUAGGGGGUGAAAGCUAAGUGUCUAGCAUAGUCCAGGGAAGGCUGUGUGGUCUUAGAAGUCUGAGACUGAGGAGUUUUCAUGGCAUGGUCAUGGGGGCACCUGAGAACCUAUGCUUAUCCCUACCCUACCAGUGAGACAGGGUGUCAUCCAGGGCAUUGUCUCAUGCCUGGGGACAUUUCUCAGAUUUUGAUGAUGGUCUAUGCCAUGCAGGAGUAUCUGGAAGUAAGUGAGCCUGGGGGCAGGGGCAGGGUGGGAAAGGGACCCCGAGGUUUGGGAGAAGAGGCCACUCCCUGAGCUCUCACCAGUGGACACAUAGGGUAUCCUGAAACCGCACAGUCUCCCUGGAAGUUGGGGGUGCCAUGGCCUUCUUGCAGAUGAGUAAAAGGAGGCUGGGCCAAGGGUCUGUCUAUUCAUUGUUGUCAGAGGCUGAGAUGGAAAUUCUGUCUCCACUCCUGGUCCCCACACCUGGCACUCAGAGUCUGUCUGGUUCCAUCCCUGGUCUGGACUGUCCUGUUCAUGUUGAAACCUGCAGUAAUGCAGUGUGACAGGGGUUCAAGGGUGUGAGCAUGGCAAUGGCCUUUGCUUCAACUACCCCAGUGAGGUGUGACCCAGGUUGGGUCUCCACCCUUUUGCUGCAGCCUUACAAAAAUAGAGAACUGCAAACAGAAACACAGAAAAAUAUGAGAAUGCCAUUUUUGCACUCUCAUGUGAAAGAGAAUUCCAUGACCAGCUUUAGCUGAAAGAGAGGCCAAUCAAAAUCCCUGGAGGCUGAGAUAAAUGCCAGAGGCUGGAAUCAGUGGAGCAGGCCUGAAGUGAGGAGGAGCUACAGUCUUGCUUUGCCAUGUGGCAGGAACCCAGGAUCUGACCAGCAGAAGGACGAUUGACAAGAAAGCAUUUCUGAUGAUGCCUUGAUGUGGACAUUUUAGCAGCUUUGGAACUGUAAGCUUUUACUCUAGUAAAUCCCCAUUAUAAAUGCCAAUGGACUUUUGGUGUCUUUGUAUUGGCAGUCUUGGCAUAUUAAAAUAAAAAAUUCCUAACAAAUGGUAAAUGAGAAAUUAAAAGCUCAAGAGAUUUCUAUGUUUUCUAUGUUUCCGUGUUCUUAUUUCUGGCUCAUGGCUGGAAAAUUUUAAACUGAAGCUCUAAACUCUCGAUUUGCAUCUGUCUGUAUGUUUGAGAAAUGACAUUUUUGUUCCUCUGGAUGGUAAUAUCAAAUUAACUUUUUUUUUUUUUAAGAUUUAUUUAUUUAUUUAAUUUCCCCCCCUCCCCUGGUUGUCUGUUCUUGGUGUCUAUUUGCUGCGUCUUGUUUCCUUGUCCGCUUCUGUUGUCGUCAGUGGCAUGGGAAGUGUGGGCGGUGCCAUUCCUGGGCAGGCUGCUCUUUCUUUUCACGCUGGGCGGCUUUCCUCAUGGGCGCACUCCUUGCGCGUGGGGCUCCCCCACGCGGGGGACACCCUUGCGUGGCGUGGCACUCCUUGCGUGUAUCAGCACUGCUCAUAGCCAGCUCCACACGGGUCAAGGAGGCCCGGGGUUUGAACCGCGGACCUCCCAUAUGGUAGACGGACGCCCUAACCACUGGGCCAAAGUCCGUUUCCCCAAAUUAACUUAUAAAACCCCUUUAAGACCUUUAUUCUAAUUUGCCAGAAGACAAAUAAAUGCUGAUAUAUAAAAUAAUCAUAUAGUCUUAGAAAUUAAGGAACCUAAGCUUCUAAUAUUUCCAAAGGAAAAAAGUGUGUAAAACUAUACCAAAAUUUAAAAACAAAUCAAAUCAACAUAAUUCAGAAAAACCUUACACAAAUGGGAUUAAUUAGCUCAGUAAAUAAAAUUAGCUAUGUCUUCUGUAAUGGUAUGUACAAUAUAAGGAUAAAUUUUUUUCUAACUUGGGCAUGUUCUUAAAUUUAUGUAGGCUUACUGAUCAGAGAAGCUAACAUUAUAUCAAUGAACUCUUUAAGAUGAAAAAUGUAAAUCCAUGUUCACACAAAUUGAGUUAUUAGGCCGACAAACUUUUCUUUGAGUAAUUGUCUGAAGACAGUUUCCAAGAUAUUUUCAGUAAUUUAAAUAUAUAAUCAUAGUGGCAACAAUUAAAAACCACAGUAGGGGGGGUACUGGGUUCCUGGCCAGUGGUGCUCUGUCGUGGUCCCUAGGGGAGCAGCGACAGUCUCCCAGGUACAGUGGCGGGGACCGGGAGGGAGUGAGGGUUCAACAGUGAGCCCCUGAUGCUAAUGACUAUGCUUGUGAGCUGAUAAACCCAAAAUAAGAACAAGGCCUAGAGCAACUUUGUGCCUGGGAAUUUCCUCCUGUCAGCCUUCAUGUUACUCAAAUGUGGCCAGUCUCGAAGCCAAACUCAGCAUGUAAAUGCAAUGCCUUCUCCCCAGCGUGGGACAUGACACCCGGGGAUGAGCCUCCCUGGCAACGAGGGACCACUAUCAACUACCAACUGAUGAUGCAACUGGAAAAUGACCUUAUACAGAAGGUUCAAUGCGGAUCAGCAGAAUAUCCAUGUCUACAUAAAAUACCAUGACUUUAAAAUGCUGUUUGACCUAAAGUAAGAGGGAAAUGGAAAGGAGAAAUGAGUUUAUAUGGCUACGAGUUUCUAAAAAAGAGUCUGGAGGCUGGCAGAAGGUUUGCCCUCAUGCACAACUGAGCAGAGUCAGAGAGACAGAUAAAGCAGAUACAACCCCCAGAUAUUAGUUCCUUUGAGGGCUAAAGAGACCCACGGGAGUUAUGGUCAUGGCCGAUGGGGUUAACUACCAGGGCAGAUGGCCCCUCUUUGGAAAUGGUGUUUAUGUGUGAUGAAUCUGGACUCAGAUGGGAUCUCCCUUCAUAAGACUUUCAUGCCAAUGUGCUGGAGGUGCAGUUAAUGUUGGGGUUUAAGAUAUAUUUAGGGGAUUUGAAUCUCCAGACUGACAAUGUGAUAGCCAGAUCCUGAGCCUCAACAGACUCCAGCACCUACAAUCUGAUUUAUUGGACUUACCACACUCAGCCAAGAUGGAGUUGAAGAAGGACAACCACCACACCAUGGAGCCUAGAGUGAUUACAACUGAAAAUGGGAGGAAUGCAUCCAGCAUCCAGGUGGAAUCUGACCCUCCUCUUGACAUAGAGGUGCAAUGGACACAACCAAUCCAAUGUCCACAUAGAAGAGGUGGCAUUGGAAUGGGAAAAGUGGACAUAGUGGACGAAGGGUAUGGGGAAAGGCAGGAAGAGAUGAGAGGUGGAGGCGUCUUUGGGACAUGGAGCUGCCCUGGAUGGUACUUCAGAGGCAAUCACCGGACAUUGUAAAUCCUCACAGGGCCCACUGGAUGGAAUGGAGGAGAGUAUGGGCUAUGAUGUGAACCAAUGUAUAUGAGGUGCAGAGGUGCCCAAAGAUAUACUUACAAAAUCCAAUGGAUGUGUCAUGAUGAUGGGAACGAGUG